rnacentral:misc_RNA from 1 species
GCCUGACAUUUAUGCUAAGGUCCUAGCUGAGCAAAAGGAGGUUUCAGCAGCUAAAGAGGCAGGUAAGCUGCUGGAGUGGGGUGACAUUCAGAAGAUGAAAUACUCCUGGAACGUAUUGCAUGAGGUGAUGAGGCUCACACCUCCACUCCAAGGAACUUUCAGAGAGGCCUUGACUGAUUUUACAUAUGCUGGGUACACUAUUCCCAAGGGAUGGAAGGUAUAUUGGACGGUGG